rnacentral:rRNA from 1 species
CGCGAAAGUUAGGACUAAUACCUUAUGUAUUCGUUUGAUUCAUGAGAUUACGAAUAAAGAUUUAUCGGUUAUGGAUGGGGAGUGCGUCUGAUUAGCUUGUUGGCGGGGUAACGGGCUCACCAAGGCAACGAUCAGUAGGGGGUUCUGAGAGGAAGGUCCCCCACAUUGGAACUGAGACACGGUCCAAACUCCUACGGGAGGCAGCAGCG